UACGUAGGGGGCAAGCGUUGUCCGGAUUUAUUGGGCGUAAAGAGCGUGUAGGCGGCCAGGUAGGUCGGUUGUGAAAACUGGAGGCUCAACCUUCAGACGUCGACCGAAACCAUCUGGCUAGAGUCCGGGAGAGGAGAGUGGAAUUCCUGGUGUAGCGGUGAAAUGCGCAGAUAUCAGGAGGAACACCGGCGGCGAAGGCGGGUCUCUGGGCCAUAACUGACGCUGAGGAGCGAAAGCGUGGGGAGCGAACAGG
rnacentral:rRNA from 1 species